rnacentral:snRNA from 1 species
GUGUUCUCUUAGGUAGCACAUACACUGAAACUGGAAUGGUACAGAGAUUAUCAUGGCCUCUGUGCAAUUAUGACAUGCAAAUUCAUGAAGUGUUCCAUAUUUUA